rnacentral:pre_miRNA from 2 species
CUGAGCAAGAUGGAGAAGCAGGGCACGUGCAUUACUAACUCAUGCGUUCAGUUCACUGAGGCCAACGCAUUAAUUUCUAGCUUUCAGCUAGCAGUUCACUCACUACUCACUACUGCUACCUUCGGGAAUUAGCUAAGCUGCAGUGAGUUAGUUUUUCAUGUGCCCCUCUUCCCCAUCAUGACCAC